GUAGGGUGCAAGCGUUAAUCGGAAUUACUGGGCGUAAAGCGUGCGCAGGCGGUUUUGUAAGACGGAUGUGAAAUCCCCGGGCUUAACCUGGGAACUGCAUUCGUGACUGCAAGGCUAGAGUAUGGCAGAGGGGGGUAGAAUUCCACGUGUAGCAGUGAAAUGCGUAGAGAUGUGGAGGAAUACCGAUGGCGAAGGCAGCCCCCUGGGCCAAUACUGACGCUCAUGCACGAAAGCGUGGGGAGCAAACAGGAUUAGAUACCCUGGUAGUCCACGCCCUAAACGAUGUCAACUAGUUGUUGGGGAUUCAUUUCCUUAGUAACGAAGCUAACGCGUGAAGUUGACCGCCUGGGGAGUACGGUCGCAAGAUUAAAACUCAAAGGAAUUGACGGGGACCCGCACAAGCGGUGGAUGAUGUGGAUUAAUUCGAUGCAACGCGAAAAACCUUACCUACCCUUGACAUGUACGGAAUCUUGCUGAAAGGUGAGAGUGCUCGAAAGAGAGCCGUAACACAGGUGCUGCAUGGCUGUCGUCAGCUCGUGUCGUGAGAUGUUGGGUUAAGUCCCGCAACGAGCGCAACCCUUGUCCUUAGUUGCUACGCAAGAGCACUCUAAGGAGACUGCCGGUGACAAACCGGAGGAAGGUGGGGAUGACGUCAAGUCCUCAUGGCCCUUAUGGGUAGGGCUUCACACGUCAUACAAUGGUCGGUACAGAGGGCUGCCAAAUCGCGAGAUGGAGCUAACCCCAGAAAACCGAUCGUAGUCCGGAUCGCAGUCUGCAACUCGACUGCGUGAAGUUGGAAUCGCUAGUAAUCGCGGAUCAGCAUGUCGCGGUGAAUACGUUCCCGGGUCUUGUACACACCGCCCGUCACACCAUGGGAGUGGGUUUUGCCAGAAGUAGGUAGCCUAACCGUAAGGAGGGCGCUUACCACGGCAGGAUUCAUGACUGGGGUGAAGUCGUAACAAGGUAGCCGUAGGGGAACC
rnacentral:rRNA from 1 species